AGGAUGAACGCUGGCGGUGUGCCUAAUACAUGCAAGUCGAACGAGAUCUUCGGAUCUAGUGGCGGACGGGUGAGUAACACGUUGGUACCUACCCCGAAGUGGGGAAUAACUGCCCGAAAGGGUGGCUAAUACCGCAUAAUACCGCAAGGUUAAAGCAGUAAUGCGCUUCGGGAGGGGCCUGCGUCCCAUUAGCUAGUUGGUAGGGUAAUGGCCUAUCAAGGCGACGAUGGGUAGCUGGAUCGAGAGGUUGACCAGCCACACUGGGACUGAGAUACGGCCCAGACUCCUACGGGAGGCAGCAGUAAGGAAUCUUCCACAAUGGACGAAAGUCUGAUGGAGCAACACCGCGUGCAGGAUGACGGUCUUCGGAUUGUAAACUGCUUUUAUAUGGGAAGAUUAUGACGGUACCAUAUGAAUAAGGACCGGCUAACUACGUGCCAGCAGCCGC
rnacentral:rRNA from 1 species